GUAAUGGCCUACCAAGGCGACGACGGGUAGCCGGCCUGAGAGGGUGAUCGGCCACAUUGGGACUGAGAUACGGCCCAGACUCCUACGGGAGGCAGCAGUGGGGAAUAUUGCACAAUGGGCGGAAGCCUGAUGCAGCGACGCCGCGUGAGGGAUGACGGCCUUCGGGUUGUAAACCUCUUUCAGCAGGGAAGAAGCGCAAGUGACGGUACCUGCAGAAGAAGCGCCGGCUAACUACGUGCCAGCAGCCGCGGUAAUACGUAGGGCGCGAGCGUUGUCCGGAAUUAUUGGGCGUAAAGAGCUCGUAGGCGGUUUGUCACGUCGUCUGUGAAAUCCUAGGGCUUAACCCUGGACGUGCAGGCGAUACGGGCUGACUUGAGUACUACAGGGGAGACUGGAAUUUCUGGUGUAGCGGUGAAAUGCGCAGAUAUCAGGAGGAACACCGGUGGCGAAGGCGGGUCUCUGGGAAACAACUGACGCUGAGGAACGAAAGCGUGGGUAGCAAACAGGAUUAGAUACCCUGGUAGUCCACGCCGUAAACGGUGGGCGCUAGGUG
rnacentral:rRNA from 1 species